GGGUGAUUAGCUCAGCUGGGAGAGCACCUCCCUUACAAGGCGGGGGUCGGCGGUUCGAUCCCGUCAUCACCCACCA
rnacentral:tRNA from 1 species